rnacentral:rRNA from 1 species
AUUCCAGCUCCAAUAGCGUAUAUUAAAGUUGUUGCGGUUAAAAAGCUCGUAGUUGGAGUUCUGCCAGGUGCCGCCUGUCCGCCCCAGUGGUGAGUACGUGGCGCGCAUUUGGCCCUUUCAAGGGGAGCGUAUCUGCACUUUAUUGUGUGGUGCGGGAUCCUUGACUUUUACUUUGAGGAAAUAGGAGUGUUCCAAGCAGGCUCUCGUCGUGCACAGCUCAGCAUGGAAUAAUAGCAUUGGACCUCGAUUCUAAGCUGUUGGUUGCCAGAAGCGAGGUAAUGAUGAAGAGGGAUAGUUGGGGGCAUUCGUAUUUAAUUGUCAGAGGUGAAAUUCUUGGAUUUAUUAAAGACGAACUAAUGCGAAAGCAUCUACCAAGGAUGUUUUCAUCA